rnacentral:rRNA from 1 species
AGGAUGAACGCUAGCGACAGGCUAACACAUGCAAGCGAGGGGCAGCAUAGAAGAGCAAUACUGGCGGCGACCGGCGCAAGGGUGCGUAACGCGUGAGCAACAUGCCCGUAUCAGGGGGAUAAUCCAGGGAAACUUGGUCUAAUACCCAUAGUAAUUUUGUAAGGCAUCUUAUAAGAUUUAAAGCUUUGGUGGAUACGGAUUGGCUCGCGUGACAUUAGCUGGAUGGUAAGGUAACGGCUUACCAUGGCUAUGAUGUCUAGGGGUUCUGAGAGGAAGGCCCCCCACACUGGAACUGAGACACGGUCCAGACUCCUACGGGAGGCAGCAGUGAGGAAUAUUGGACAAUGGAGUGGAAAUCUGAUCCAGCCAUGCCGCGUGAAGGAAAGAAGGUCCUAUGGAUUGUAAACUUCUUUUGUAUGGGAGCAAUAAGGCCUACGAGUAGGUUGAUGAGAGUACCAUACGAAUAAGCACCGGCUAACUCCGUGCCAGCCGCAGC